UGGCGGGGGAGCGCACAACCGGGUGAGCAUGUGGUUUAUUCGAUNNGAAGCGAAGUACCUCACCCAGGCUUGACUACUAGCUGCAAAUCUAAUGAAAGUUAGAUCUUCUUCGAGAGUGCUAGAACAGCUGUUGCAUGGCUGUCGUCAGUUCGUGUCGUGAGGCGUCCGCUUAAGUGCGGUAACGAACGCAACCCCUAUUCUGUGUUGAAUGUUCACAGGAGACUGCUCUUGAUAGUAUCAAGGGAGGAAGGAGGGGAUGAUGUCAAGUCAGCAUGACGCUUACGCCUGGGGCUACACACAUCCUACAGUGGACAAGACAAUGGGUCGCCAACCCGCGAGGGGGAGCCAAUCCCACAAACUUGUCCCCAGUUCAGAUUGGAGGCUGCAACCCGCCUCCAUGAAGUCGGAAUCGGUAGUAAUCGCGGGUUAGCAGACCGCGGUGAAUACGUUCUCGCUCCUUGUACACACCGCCCGUCAAGUGAGCAAAGUUGGCAGUACCUGAAGUCGGUGUCUCUAACUCGCAAGAGAUGAGCCCGCCAAAGGUAAGGUCAGCGAUGAGCGCUAAGUCGUAACAAGGUAGCCUCAGUCAGUCAA
rnacentral:rRNA from 1 species